GCCAAGGUCGUGACCUUAACUCACAACAGUCAGACUGAGGAGAGUGAGCCUUCUGCACAGGAUAUACCAGGCGAGACUACACAAGAGACAGCAGAGCCAACCAAGGAAACAGACAACACGGACAAAAACAAAGCAGCAGAGCUGGCAACCAGUAAAGACUCAGGGGAACCAGACAAAGGGGAGGAAAUCAAGAUCAAUAUCAGCCGAAAAAAGAAGGUUCAGCCAAAACUGGAGAACAUCAUAGACUGUUUACACUACAGGUUUGAGGAGUCUUACAAUGCCAUGCUCUCAGCUUUUGACCUGUUUGACUACCUGAGUGAUGGAUACAUUUCACGUGUCGACUUCCGUCGCGUUCUCCAGGAGUUUGGUCUGAAUAUAUCUGUGACCGACCUUGACAACUUCCUAGCAAGAAAUGGAGUGAGAACAAUUCGUGGGCAGGUGAACUACAAGGAAUUCCUGAACAAGUUUCAGAGUAAAUCAGAAAACAGUGUCACAAACAGGGUUGUCACCAGCCAACAAUUCCAUGAUAAGAAGUUUCCAGCAUGGCCCCUUCCUCAACACUCUUUGACUUCAGAAGAACUUGACGUUCGAUUGGUCGAUUUACUUCACGGAGAUUUCCUCAAGCUGAUCGGCUACUUCAAGUCCUGUGACAAGUAUGGUUUGGGUGUAAUCACCCCCCACGAGUUCCGCAGCGGGAUAGAGAAGCGGCUAGGGUACCCCAUGUCUGAGCGCCAGUGGGAUCAGGUUAAGUGUGAUGUGGGACAGGACAGUGAUGGACUGAUCCCCUACAACAAGUUCCUCCAGAUGUUUGACGUCCCGCCUGGGUCGUGGAACAGGAAGCAGGAGGGGGGACUGGAUGUCUGUCAGGUCGUCCCUGCCUCUAUGGUGCAGUCCUCGGCAGUGGACCGACUCAGGGAGAAAGCCAAGACCUUCAUGCACUCCCAGCCGGAGGCAGUCGGUGUCCAGCCCCAGGAUAACAUCAGAACCAUCACUGAUGUGAUGAAGAUUUUAGAGGAGCUGUUUCGCAAUAGAUUCCACACUUUUGACAAGCAUUUUCAGGACAUGGAUCGGCGUAAGACAGGCAGGAUGAGUAAAUGGCAGUUCGGUGCCCUGCUUCGACUAUGUGGAGUUAGCUUGACAAACUCGGAGCUGGAUCGAGUCUGGGUCCGACUCAAUGUUUCCAAUGAUGGAAUGUACAGCUACAAGUCCCUCAUCAAAGCGUUCGCUCACAAACAGACCGGGCAGGAUGUCAGGAGGGAACAGACAGACAGUGACACUAGAGAGUUGAUAGAAACUGCUAAAAGAGUGCAGCGAGAAAGGAGGGAGAAGAGUGUGUCAUCCCAACAACAGAAAACCACCACCACCGUCACCACCAACACAGGAGAGGUAGCCACCACCACCCAAACCAUGACCGUGGCUUCUGUCACAGAGAACAACACAAAAACCACCACCGUCGACACUGUUGUAGCAGAGAAGGCCCCAGGCACGGCCUUGUCAUUCAAAAGUCAGCGAACCAGGGACCUCCUCAACAAAAUCAAGUCUCAGGUGGUUGGAAAUUGGGAAGGAUUAAAGACAGUUUUUAAAUUCAUUGAUAAAAAUGGCAACGCAACUAUUUCCAUCUCUGAUAUGAAGGAAGUUUUAAAUACCAUGAAGUUUCCAAUGUCUGAAGAAGACAAACGUGAUCUGUGUCAAAGAUUUGACCUACAACGAAAUGGAAGGUUCCACUACCUGGAAUUCAUGAAGUGCUACUCUCAGAACCCUCCUCACCUGUCCAAAUCUCAGGUCUUCAGCAAACACACACACAAACUAGAGAGAAAGUUAAUGUCAGAGCACAAAAACUUGCGGCGAGCGUUUCGUAAGUUGGACAUAAAUCGGCGAGGUGAGCUGGGGAUUUCCGACUUCCGCCGGGCUCUGGUGGGCUGUAACAUUCGGGUCUCUAACGAAGAUUUCUACCACAUCCUGAGCGAGUUUGACCAGGAAAUGAAGGGCUCUGUCUCAUACAACGACUUCCUCUCCACAUUUGUCGACAAUUUGUGAUCAAGAGCACCUGUUUCUGAAAAGAACUAUAGUUUGGUCAACGUCAUUGUAACAUUAUGAGACAGAGGAUGUUGGUGAUUUUUUUCAAUGUUUUUAGGGGUCUCUUAUUCUGUGAUACUUCUGGUAUUGUUGUUUUAGGCUUUAAAAUUUAACAAACAUGUACAUUAAUUCUAUCUUUGUUGAUUUAAUAACAAAUUUUAAUGUAUUUAUUGUUUGUUAAUUAUCUAUAUGAUUGUAUGGUAUCUAUUUUGUUGAUAUAUUUUGUUUUUUCUAUUUACGAAUUGAAGCAUUUCUGUGAUAAGGAAUAACUUCGUUUGUCAAUGUAACCAGAGUUUUUUAAAAUAUUAACUAGUGCCUGAUUCUAUUAAAUUGUAUAAUUUUAGUCCGUGUUUUCAGCGGAUAAGAUGCUUGCAUAAUAGAGAUAGAUAGAAAGUCCUUUUUUCUACUAUGUAUUAUGUUACAGUAGUUUUACCUCAACUAAUUGUAAUUAUUUCUUAAUUAUAAGAAAAUUAACCGUCCAUAGUUUUUUGUUUUUUUUAAAUAAAAUCCAUGUUA
rnacentral:misc_RNA from 1 species